GACAGAGGAUGCAAACGUUGCUCGGAAUUACUGGGCGUAAAGCGCAUGUAGGCGGUUUGGUAAGUCGGACGUGAAAGCCCGGGGCUCAACCCCGGAAGCGCGCUCGAUACUGCUUGACUUGGGUCCUGAAGAGGAGAGCGGAAUUCCCGGUGUAGAGGUGAAAUUCGUAGAUAUCGGGAGGAACACCAGUGGCGAAGGGCGGCUCUCUGGGCAGG
rnacentral:rRNA from 1 species